rnacentral:rRNA from 1 species
UACGUAGGGUGCGAGCGUUGUCCGGAAUUAUUGGGCGUAAAGGGCUCGUAGGCGGUUUGUCGCGUCGGGAGUGAAAUCCACUGGCUUAACUGGUGGCUUGCUUUCGAUACGGGCAGACUGGAGGUAUGCAGGGGAGAACGGAAUUCCUGGUGUAGCGGUGGAAUGCGCAGAUAUCAGGAGGAACACCGAUGGCGAAGGCAGAUCUCUGGGCCGUAACUGACGCUGAGGAGCGAAAGCGUGGGGAGCGAACAGG